AGGACGAACGCUGGCGGCGUGCUUAACACAUGCAAGUCACGGGGGCUCGCAAGAGCAACCGGCGAACGGGUGCGUAACACGUGAGCAACCUGCCGAUCUGAGGGGGAUAGCCGGCCCAACGGCCCGGGUAAAUACCGCAUACGGUUUUUGAGGGACAUCCCUUAGGAACGAAACCUCCGGGGCAGAUCGAGGGGCUCGCGGCCUAUCAGCUAGUUGGCGGGGUAACGGCCCACCAAGGCGACGACGGGUAGCUGGU
rnacentral:rRNA from 1 species